UAUCCGACCAUACAGGCAAUAGCUAGGGACAUUUUAGCUAUUCCUGUAUCCACUGUUGCUUCUGAGUCAGCAUUUAGUACUAGUGGAAGGUUGGUGAGUCCACAUCGUAGUAGACUUCAUCCAAACACAUUAUAAGCAUUAAUGUGUGCACAAAGUUGGUUGUGGGGUGCAGAGAUGAAAGGAAAUUCAACAUUGGAAUCGGUGGGCUAUGCAACUAUAUAUGAUAAUGAUGAAAUCGAGUCGGAUCAGUCAUGUGCCACUUUUGUGAAUUCAAGUUGAAGGAGAUGAUGGAAGUUGUGUGGUUUGUAUGGGUAUUGGACAAACAAUGGAUUUGAUUUUUUAUGUUGUAAUGGAUAUUUUUUUUUUUAAUUUCAAUUUUUGGG